AGGAUAAACGCUGGCGGCGUGCCUAACACAUGCAAGUCGAACGCGCUUUCGGGCUUCGGUGCGAGAGCGAGUGGCGGACGGGUGAGUAACACAUGGGUACCUGCCUUUCAGUGAGGGAUACCGGCGAGAAAUCGCCGACAAUACCGCAUGGGCUUGUGGGAACACAAGCAAAGUGGCGCAAGCCACGCUGGAAGAUGGGCCUGUGGCCGAUUAGCUAGUUGGGGGGGUAAUGGCCUCCCAAGGCGACGAUCGGUAGCUGGUCUGAGAGGACGAUCAGCCACACUGGGAUUGAGAACGGCCCAGACUCCUACGGGGGGCAGCAGUGAGGAAUUUUCCGCAAUGGACGAAAGUCUGACGGAGCAACGCCGCGUGCAGGAGGAAGGUUUUCGGAUCGUAAACUGCUUUUCUCGGGGACGAGCAAGGACGGUACCCUAGGAAGAAGCCCGGCUAACUACGCGCCAGCAGCCGC
rnacentral:rRNA from 1 species